rnacentral:rRNA from 1 species
UACGAAGGGUGCAAGCGUUGUUCGGAAUCAUUGGGCGUAAAGCGAGCGCAGGCGGAUCAGUAAGUCAGGUGUGAAAUCUCGAGGCUCAACCUCGAAAAUUGCGCCUGAAACUACUAGUCUAGAAUGUUGGAGGGGGAUAGGGGAAUUUCACGUGUAGGGGUAAAAAUCCGUAGAGAUGUGAAGGAACACCGGAGGCGAAGGCGCCUAUCUGGACAACUAUUGACGCUGAGGCUCGAAAGCGUGGGGAGCAAACAGG